GGGUUGUGAGGUUAAGCGACUAAGCGUACACGGUGGAUGCCCUGGCAGUCAGAGGCGAUGAAGGGCGUGCUAAUCUGCGAUAAGCGCCGGUAAGGUGAUAUGAACCGUUAUAACCGGCGAUACCCGAAUGGGGAAACCCAGUGUGACUCGUCACACUAUCAUUAACUGAAUCCAUAGGUUAAUGAGGCGAACCGGGGGAACUGAAACAUCUAAGUACCCCGAGGAAAAGAAAUCAACCGAGAUUCCCCCAGUAGCGGCGAGCGAACGGGGAGGAGCCCAGAGCCUGAAUCAGCAUGUGUGUUAGUGGAAGCGUCUGGAAAGGCGCGCGAUACAGGGUGACAGCCCCGUACACAAAAGCGUAUGUGCUGUGAGCUCGAUGAGUAGGGCGGGACACGUGGUAUCCUGUCUGAAUAUGGGGGGACCAUCCUCCAAGGCUAAAUACUCCUGACUGACCGAUAGUGAACCAGUACCGUGAGGGAAAGGCGAAAAGAACCCCGGCGAGGGGAGUGAAAAAGAACCUGAAACCGUGUACGUACAAGCAGUGGGAGCCCCACCACUAAGCCAGUGGUGAACUCCACAUACGCAUCCUUUGCUGAGGAUACGGUUAACGGAGCGAAAGCGACGUUCAACCGCAAAAGAAGCAGAGGGGGCUUAGUGGUGGGGUGACUGCGUACCUUUUGUAUAAUGGGUCAGCGACUUAUAUUCUGUAGCAAGGUUAACCGAAUAGGGGAGCCGGAGGGAAACCGAGUCUUAACCGGGCGUUAAGUUGCAGGGUAUAGACCCGAAACCCGGUGAUCUAGCCAUGGGCAGGUUGAAGGUUGGGUAACACUAACUGGAGGACCGAACCGACUAAUGUUGAAAAAUUAGCGGAUGACCUGUGGCUGGGGGUGAAAGGCCAAUCAAACCGGGAGAUAGCUGGUUCUCCCCGAAAGCUAUUUAGGUAGCGCCUCGUGAAUUCAUCUCCGGGGGUAGAGCACUGUUUCGGCUAGGGGGCCAUCCCGGCUUACCAACCCGAUGCAAACUGCGAAUACCGGAGAAUGUUAUCACGGGAGACACACGGCGGGUGCUAACGUCCGUCGUGAAGAGGGAAACAACCCAGACCGCCAGCUAAGGUCCCAAAGUCAUGGUUAAGUGGGAAACGAUGUGGGAAGGCCCAGACAGCCAGGAUGUUGGCUUAGAAGCAGCCAUCAUUUAAAGAAAGCGUAAUAGCUCACUGGUCGAGUCGGCCUGCGCGGAAGAUGUAACGGGGCUAAACCAUGCACCGAAGCUGCGGCAGCGACGCUUAUGCGUUGUUGGGUAGGGGAGCGUUCUGUAAGCCUGUGAAGGUGGCCUGUGAGGGUUGCUGGAGGUAUCAGAAGUGCGAAUGCUGACAUAAGUAACGAUAAAGCGGGUGAAAAGCCCGCUCGCCGGAAGACCAAGGGUUCCUGUCCAACGUUAAUCGGGGCAGGGUGAGUCGACCCCUAAGGCGAGGCCGAAAGGCGUAGUCGAUGGGAAACGGGUUAAUAUUCCCGUACUUGGUGUUACUGCGAAGGGGGGACGGAGAAGGCUAUGUUGGCCGGGCGACGGUUGUCCCGGUUUAAGCGUGUAGGUGUGUGUUCCAGGUAAAUCCGGUUCACUUUAACACUGAGGCGUGAUGACGAGGCACUACGGUGCUGAAGUAACAAAUGCCCUGCUUCCAGGAAAAGCCUCUAAGCAUCAGGUAACAUCAAAUCGUACCCCAAACCGACACAGGUGGUCAGGUAGAGAAUACCAAGGCGCUUGAGAGAACUCGGGUGAAGGAACUAGGCAAAAUGGUGCCGUAACUUCGGGAGAAGGCACGCUGACAC
rnacentral:rRNA from 1 species